rnacentral:rRNA from 1 species
UGAGGAAUAUUGGUCAAUGGGCGCGAGCCUGAACCAGCCAUUCCGCGUGAAGGAAGAAGGCCUUAUGGGUUGUAAACUUCUUUUCUGUAAGAAGAAAAGUCCCGACGUGUCGGGAUGUGACGGUAUUAUAGGAAUAAGCAUCGGCUAACUCCGUGCCAGCAGCCGCGGUAAUACGGAGGAUGCAAGCGUUAUCCGGAUUUAUUGGGUUUAAAGGGUGCGCAGGUUGUUUUAUAAGUCAGUGGUGAAAGUCUGUCGCUUAACGAUAGGAUUGCCAUUGAUACUGUAGGACUUGAGUAUGGAUGAGGUAGGCGGAAUGUGUAGUGUAGCGGUGAAAUGCAUAGAUAUGACACAGAACACCAAUCGCGAAGGCAGCUUACCAAGCAAUAACUGACGCUCAUGCACGAAAGCGUGGGGAUCAAACA